GCCAGCUCAGAGAGUGCGCCGAGACGAGGUAGCGAGACCCCUUAAAAGGGCUGUGGUGUGGGUUCGAGUCCCACCGGGGGCACCA
rnacentral:tRNA from 1 species